UGGGGAAUUUUGGACAAUGGGCGCAAGCCUGAUCCAGCCAUUCCGCGUGCAGGAUGAAGGCCUUCGGGUUGUAAACUGCUUUUGUACGGAACGAAACGGCCUUCUCUAAUACAGAGGGCUAAUGACGGUACCGUAAGAAUAAGCACCGGCUAACUACGUGCCAGCAGCCGCGGUAAUACGUAGGGUGCAAGCGUUAAUCGGAAUUACUGGGCGUAAAGCGUGCGCAGGCGGUUAUGUAAGACAGUUGUGAAAUCCCCGGGCUCAACCUGGGAACUGCGUUUGUGACUGUGUUGCUAGAGUGUAGCAGAGGGGGUGGAAUUCCACGUGUAGCAGUGAAAUGCGUAGAGAUGUGGAGGAACACCGAUAGCGAAGGCAGCUUACUAGACUGUAACUGACGCUGAGGCACGAAAGUGUGGGGAUCAAACAGGAUUAGAUACCCGUGUAGUCCCUGAGCGGGCUGGCAAGGCGCAU
rnacentral:rRNA from 1 species